rnacentral:rRNA from 1 species
UACAGAGGUCUCAAGCGUUGUUCGGAUUCAUUGGGCGUAAAGGGUGCGUAGGCGGCGCGGUAAGUCGGGUGUGAAAUCUCGGAGCUUAACUCCGAAACUGCAUUCGAUACUGCCGUGCUUGAGGACUGGAGAGGAGACUGGAAUUUACGGUGUAGCAGUGAAAUGCGUAGAUAUCGUGAGGAAGACCAGUGGCGAAGGCGGGUCUCUGGACAGUUCCUGACACUGAGGCACGAAGGCCAGGGGAGCAAACGGG